UCCGGGUUGAUCCCGGCGGUCUCGCCAGAAAAGCAACUGGCGACGAGGGUUGCGCUCGUUGCGGGACUUAAGCCAACACCUCACGGCACGAGCUGACGACGGCCAUGCAGCACCUGUGCUAGCCCCUUACGGACACCGGCUUUCACCGGCUUUAACUAGCAUGUCAAGCCUAGGUAAGGUUCUUCGCGUUGCAUCGAAUUAAUCCACAUCAUCCACCGCUUGUGCGGGUCCCCGUCAAUUCCUUUGAGUUUUAAUCUUGCGACCGUACUCCCCAGGCGGUCUACUUCACGCGUUAGCUGCGUUACCAAGUCAUUUAAGACCCGACAACUAGUAGACAUCGUUUAGGGCGUGGACUAC
rnacentral:misc_RNA from 1 species